UACGUAGGGACCAAGCGUUGUCCGGAAUCAUUGGGCGUAAAGAGCGUGUAGGCGGCUUGUUAAGUCUUGCGUGAAAUCUCGGGGCUCAACCCCGAGCGGUCGUGAGAAACUGGCAGGCUAGAGUGCGGGAGAGGAGAGUGGAAUUCCUGGUGUAGCGGUGAAAUGCGCAGAGAUCCGGAGGAACACCAGUGGCGAAGGCGGCUCGCUGGGCUCUACCUGACGCUGAGGCGCGAAAGCGUGGGGAGCGAACCGG
rnacentral:rRNA from 1 species